rnacentral:rRNA from 1 species
UACGUAGGAGGCGAGCGUUGUCCGGAUUUACUGGGCGUAAAGCGCGCGUAGGCGGCUUUGUAAGUUAGAGGUGAAAGCCCGGAGCUCAACUCCGGAACUGCCUUUAAAACUGCAUCGCUUGAAUCCAGGAGAGGUGAGUGGAAUUCCGAGUGUAGAGGUGAAAUUCGUAGAUAUUCGGAAGAACACCAGUGGCGAAGGCGGCUCACUGGACUGGUAUUGACGCUGAGGUGCGAAAGCGUGGGGAGCAAACAGG